rnacentral:rRNA from 1 species
CGGCGCGGAGAUAGCACGUUGAAGUCACCUGUCCCAAAUGGAUCACUGAAGUUAGGCAACGUUGCACGUAGUUGGUAUUCGAAUGGGUUAUCAUCUGAGCAAUCCACCAUAGCGUGUUGC